GACGAACGCUGGCGGCGUGCCUAACACAUGCAAGUCGAACGGAGUUGUUCCUUCGGGGACAACUUAGUGGCGAACGGGUGAGUAACGCGUGAGAAACCUGCCUUUCAGUGGGGGACAACAGUUGGAAACGACUGCUAAUACCGCAUAAUGUAUCGAGAGGGCAUCCUCUUGAUACCAAAGAUUUAUUGCUGAAAGAUGGUCUCGCGUCUGAUUAGCUAGUUGGUGAGGUAACGGCUCACCAAGGCGACGAUCAGUAGCCGGUCUGAGAGGAUGAACGGCCACAUUGGGACUGAGAUACGGCCCAGACCCCUACGGGAGGCAGCAGUGGGGAAUAUUGGGCAAUGGGGGAAAGCCUGACGGAGCAACGCCGCGUGAACGAAGAAGGUUUUCGGAUCGUAAAGUUCUGUUCUUAGAGACGAAAAUGACGGUACCUGACUAAGAAGCACCGGCUAAAUACGUG
rnacentral:rRNA from 1 species